CAGGCCUAACACAUGCAAGUCGAGCGCCCCGCAAGGGGAGCGGCAGACGGGAGAGUAACACGUGGGAACGUACCCUUUGGUUCGGAACAACCCAGGGAAACUUGGGCUAAUACCGAAUAAGCCCUUACGGGGAAAGAUUUAUCGCCAAAGGAUCGGCCCGCGUCUGAUUAGCUAGUUGGUGAGGUAACGGCUCACCAAGGCGACGAUCAGUAGCUGGUCUGAGAGGAUGAUCAGCCUCACUGGGACUGAGACACGGCCCAGACUCCUACGGGAGGCAGCAGUGGGGAAUAUUGGACAAUGGGCGCAAGCCUGAUCCAGCCAUGCCGCGUGGGUGAUGAAGGCCCUAGGGUUGUAAAGCCCUUUCGGCGGGGAAGAUAAUGACGGUACCCGCAGAAGAAGCCCCGGCUAACUUCGUGCCAGCAGCCGCGGUAAUAC
rnacentral:rRNA from 1 species